CAUCCUGUGUUUGCUUUCUAGUUUGGCCCUCUUGGCUUUCUGUACCCCUAGUUAUGAUGCAAUAGCUCCUCCCUUCUCUCUCUGGCCUGUAAACAUGGCUGCCCAGCUCCACGGAAAUUAUCAUUUUUUUUUCACCGACUGUUGUGGGAUGUUUAACAAGAUUUACCCAGAUUAAUGUACCUGGAAACUUGUUUGUGUCUCUACAGUUGAGUUGACACUGUCUGACAACAUAUAUCUGGUGUGAGAAGGAAAAAAAAUGGAGGAAGAAGAGAAGUGGAGGAUUACAGUUGGUCCUCCAUGUCCAUGGAUUCCAUAUCCACGAAUUGGUGAAAAUAUUCAAAAGAAAGUUCUGAACAGCAAUUUUUAAUUUUGCCUUUUGAAAGAAGAAAUACCCUUUCACUAUGCCAUUCUGCACAAUGGGACCUGAGCAUCCACAGAUUUUUAUCCUAGAACCAAAUCCUCAUGGACACCAAUGGAUACUGUAUAUAAGAUUCUGGAGGAAAUUGGAGGAAGAGGAUGCAACCAUACUGAUCAUCAGAUAUGUUCCAGGUCAACAACAAUAUAGUUUAACAAGUACACAAGUAUUAUUUACAUGUGUCCCAAAGUAAGUUCACAUGAAGUCAAUGCACUUUAGCUUUUGCAAGCAGAGAUUUUAAUAUUAGUGGGUAUUGUCUAUGUAAUACAGGGAGAGGUCAACUCCACUGUUUAAACAGCUCCACUGGCUGCCAUUAAGUUUCCAGUCCCAAUUCAAGGUGAAGGUUCUUAGCUAUAAAGCCCUAAAUGGUUCGGGACCGUCCUAUCUUCGUGACCACAUCUUUCCCUACCAACCUGUGCGAUCUCUAAGAUCUUCUGGAGAGGCUCUUCUCUCACUUCCUCCCCCUUCACAAAUGCGGUUGGUGGGGACACGGGAGAAGGCCUACUCUGCGGUGGCUCCCCGGCUCUGGAAUUCCCUCCCCAGGGAGAUAAGGUUAGCUCCGACCCUCACUGCCUUUCGUAAGCAGUUAAAAACAUGAAUGUUCUGUUGUGCAUUCAAUUAGACAAAUCCUUUAUAACCUGGCCCUUACUCACAUUGAAAUCCGCCCUGCCACCUUACAGAUGAUUUCCAUCUCAGGAUAAUUUUCCCUACCUUGUGUUUUCAUAUCACAUGUAUAUUUCUACUCUGAUAUUUACAUCUUUUUAUCAGUUCUAACUUGAAAUGAGUUUGAUAACUACCCAUUCAUGUCUUAUACUGGACCUUUUAAAGGCUUGUGAAUAAUUGUUAAUAUGUUAUGCUUUUAUAAUUAUGUUAUUUUAAACUAUGGUUUGUUAAACUUGCUUUUAGUAUGAUGCUCGUUGUUUUAACUGUUGAUUUUAUGAUGUAAAUGUGAUUUGAUUGGGCUUGUCCCCAUGUGAGCCGCUCUGAGUCUCCUCGGGAAGAUGGUGGUGGCAUACAAAAAUAAAGUUGUUGUUGUUGUUGUUAUUA